ACGAACCGUACGAACGUUAUUCGGAAUCACUGGGCUUAAAGGGUGCGUAGGCGGCCCGGAAAGUUGGGUGUGAAAGCCCUCGGCUCAACCGAGGAAUUGCGCCCAAAACUACCGGGCUCGAGGGAGACAGAGGUGAGCGGAACUUAGGGUGGAGCGGUGAAAUGCGUUGAUAUCCUAAGGAACACCAGGAGCGAAAGCGGCUCACUGGGUCUCUUCUGACGCUGAGGCACGAAAGCUAGGGGAGCGAACGG
rnacentral:rRNA from 1 species